UAGUGGUAGAACCAGCUGAGACCUACUUUUAUGUCCGCACUCUGCCAGCAGCCACUGCUGGAGUGUUGCUGGCUCCAUUGAUGCCUCCUCCGCUCCCAUCCAGCCAAUCAGACCACAGCUGUUUAUGCUGAAGAAAUGUGAUCGUUCUUUGCUCCAGCCUCUGAGCAGCGAGCAGCGCUAGAAGCAGAGCAAGAGAGAGAGAGAGAGAGCGCGCAGGCGGGCUAGAGAAAGAGGGAGGGCUGCAGACAGUAGAAGGGAAUAAGCUCCUCUUAGAGCCGUUUGAGUGGCGCUCGUAGAGGCUUGUGAGACUCGGGUUCGGUGAGGCUGUGAUUUGUACCCCCCCACCCCUCUCCCCCGAGGCUCCCCAGCGCUGGAGGGAUGCAGAGGACACCGUGUCAGGGCGUGUGAAGAGGGUGUGUGCCUGGAUAGGCUUGCCAGGACUGCCAGGCAGAAGUCGUCUGUCAAAUCCCAGAGGCAUCGCUGCGCUGAAAGACAACCCUGAGAUUGAUGUCUGAGGUGAGGCACAUCAGCCCAGUCACAAGUCCUUCAC
ensembl:lncRNA